GGCGGGCGCUCCCCUCGGCGAUGGUGCUGGCUGGGAGCGGCGGCGGCGGCCCGGCCUCGGCGAGGGAGGAGGCAGCGGCAGGAGCCGUAGCCGUGAUCCAGCCGCCUCCCUCCUUCCCGCCUGCCCGGUCUGCUUCCCGGCGCAGCGCAGGUGUAUCCCCACUGACUUCUGUGGUAUUGCACCAAUGUAUCUGAGAGCAGAAUUUAUUUUUCUCCUUUCAACGUGUAUGCAAUGCUCCAGAGAUACGUGGAAAGACUUGACUCCUAUCUGUACUGGAUCUUGAUCAUCUUGGACUAUAAUCUCCAUGGCGUGAAAAUCUGAAGAUAAUCCGGAGUAAAAGAUUGGUUUAUUUAAAGUGACUAUUGUAUCAAAAUGGUUGGAAAACUCAAACAAAACUUGUUGUUGGCAUGUCUGGUGAUCAGCUCAGUGACAGUGUUUUAUUUGGGGCAACAUGCUAUGGAAUGUCACCACAGAAUAGAAGAACGCAGCCAGCCAGUGAGGAUGGAAAGUGGGAGAACCACAAUAAGAACUGUCUUUAACUUAAAGGCAAAUAAAACUUUUGUUUACAAUAAAGACAUGCCUUUAAUAUUUAUUGGAGGGGUGCCUCGAAGUGGCACUACACUAAUGCGUGCCAUGCUAGAUGCUCACCCCGAUAUCCGCUGUGGAGAAGAGACUAGGGUAAUCCCUCGAAUUCUGGCAGUUAAGCAGAUGUGGGCCAGAUCAAGUAAAGAGAAAAUCAGACUGGAUGAAGCUGGGGUGACAGAUGAAGUUCUGGACUCAGCCAUGCAAGCCUUUUUAUUGGAAAUCAUUGUUAAACACGGGGAACCUGCUCCCUAUUUGUGUAAUAAAGAUCCUUUUGCUCUGAAGUCCUUAACUUAUCUUGCCAGAAUUUUCCCCAAUGCCAGAUUUCUUCUAAUGGUACGGGAUGGUCGUGCAUCGGUGCAUUCCAUGAUAUCUAGAAAAGUCACCAUAGCUGGGUUUGACCUUAACAGCUACAGGGACUGUUUGACCAAGUGGAAUCGUGCCAUAGAGACUAUGUAUAACCAGUGUAUGGAGGUUGGUUUUGAAAGAUGCAUGCUGGUACACUAUGAACAACUUGUAUUACAUCCUGAAAGGUGGAUGAGAACUCUAUUAAAGUUUCUCCACAUUCCAUGGAACCAAGCAGUGCUACACCAUGAGGAAAUGAUUGGGAAAGCAGGUGGUGUGUCUCUUUCAAAAGUUGAAAGAUCUACAGAUCAAGUAAUCAAACCAGUCAACGUAGAAGCUUUGUCCAAAUGGGUUGGGAAAAUACCAUCAGAUGUUUUACAAGACAUGCCAGUGAUUGCACCAAUGUUAGCUAAACUUGGCUACGAUCCGUAUGCCAAUCCACCAAAUUAUGGAAAGCCAGAUCAAAAAGUUCUUGAAAACACACGAAGGGUCUAUAAAGGUGAAUUUCAGCUUCCUGAUUUUCUUAAAGAAAUGCCUCAGCCAAAGAAGACAGUAGAAAGGAAGUCCCGUGGCAAGAUAAAAUGAACAUGGACCAGUAAAGUAGAGUAGCUGUGGUGUCUGUUUCACGUUUUCAGAGCAUAAAACUCUUAGCUACAGAACCAGUGGAGUAGAAUAUCGAUGGACUUACCUUGCACAUAAGGUCCGUUCUACCGAGAUCAGUGAGGUGUACCGCUCAUGGCCUGCUUUUUUCGAAUCUUCUCCCAUUUGCCUUCAGACUGUGUUUUUUGUUUUGUUUGGGGCUUUUUGUUUGGUGGUUUGUUUUUGGUUUUUUGUGAGCACACUUAAACCUGUAACAAUAAAAGCACUUUUCUGAUAUGGUGAACACUUUCACUGAUGAUGAUGUACUGUGUUACAUUUAUAUAACUGUUUCUACAGUUUGAAAAUGAAAUUAAAGCAAAAUCUGGCCUAUGUUGAAACUGCUAUUCUGUCUAUAUCUUUGUUUAAUUCCAGAGCUUAAUUUUAAAGGGUUUGUAAAAAUGGUUUGUGAAACAUUUGGAAUUUAAAUGUAUGAAAUUUUGUAAAAGUGGCCUGUGCUUGUCCUCAUUUGUGUUUUUUGGUAGAACAGUUGAGCCUGUUUUCAAUUUUAUGGAUAUGGAAAUUGUUAAAUAUCUUUCUUUUAAUUAUUUAAAAAAAUCAUUUCUGAGAUGUUGAUAAAUUACAUGUACAUUUACAAUGCUGUGAUCUUUUGUAUUUUAUUUUUCAAAAUAAAUGCUUUAAAUGUGA